rnacentral:rRNA from 1 species
CGGUAAACGGCGGCCGUAACUAUAACGGUCCUAAGGUAGCGAAAUUCCUUGUCGGGUAAGUUCCGACCUGCACGAAUGGCGUAAUGAUGGCCAGGCUGUCUCCACCCGAGACUCAGUGAAAUUGAACUCGCUGUGAAGAUGCAGUGUACCCGCGGCAAGACGGAAAGACCCCGUGAACCUUUACUAUAGCUUGACACUGAACAUUGAGCCUUGAUGUGUAGGAUAGGUGGGAGGCUUUGAAGUGUGGACGCCAGUCUGCAUGGAGCCGACCUUGAAAUACCACCCUUUAAUGUUUGAUGUUCUAACGUUGACCCGUAAUCCGGGUUGCGGACAGUGUCUGGUGGGUAGUUUGACUGGGGCGGUCUCCUCCUAAAGAGUAACGGAGGAGCACGAAGGUUGGCUAAUCCUGGUCGGACAUCAGGAGGUUAGUGCAAUGGCAUAAGCCAGCUUGACUGCGAGCGUGACGGCGCGAGCAGGUGCGAAAGCAGGUCAUAGUGAUCCGGUGGUUCUGAAUGGAAGGGCCAUCGCUCAACGGAUAAAAGGUACUCCGGGGAUAACAGGCUGAUACCGCCCAAGAGUUCAUAUCGACGGCGGUGUUUGGCACCUCGAUGUCGGCUCAUCACAUCCUGGGGCUGAAGUAGGUCCCAAGGGUAUGGCUGUUCGCCAUUUAAAGUGGUACGCGAGCUGGGUUUAGAACGUCGUGAGACAGUUCGGUCCCUAUCUGCCGUGGGCGCUGGAGAACUGAGGGGGGCUGCUCCUAGUACGAGAGGACCGGAGUGGACGCAUCACUGGUGUUCGGGUUGUCAUGCCAAUGGCACUGCCCGGUAGCUAAAUGCGGAAGAGAUAAGUGCUGAAAGCAUCUAAGCACGAAACUUGCC